rnacentral:rRNA from 1 species
AUGGGGGAGUACGGCGGGGGGGACCUGCUGGGCGAGGCCAUGUGCGCCGGCGCGCGGGUGGUGGUGGUGGAGGACUGCGUGGAGGCGCCCGCCGCCUUCGUCCUCCACCUCCUCCUCAAGCGCGCGCUCGCCGCGGGCGGUGGCGGUGGCGCGGCGCUCCUCGCCCUCGCGCACCCCUUCUCGCACUACGACCGCGUCCUCCGCAAGAUGGGCUGUAACUUAUCCAUGCAUAGGAAGAGUGAGAGGCUUCAUUUCUUUGACUUGCAGGCGUUCCCAGGUGGAACAAGGGGAGGUGCCAUUGCUGAUAGCUUAGCUCAGCUGUAUAGUGCUGUUCAGAGAGUGGUGGAGACAUACAGGGCUGGAGAAAAUGCAGGUCGGCUCACGGUUAUGAUAGAUGAUGUUUCACUCUUGGAAGUUGCUGCCAAUGGUUCUGCAGAUGAUGUCUUGGACUUCUUGCAUUAUUGUGUGACACUUACGUCUGAGAUGAAUUGCUUGCUUGUGGUUCUUAUUCAUGAGGAUAUUUAUUCAAGCGAGGAUGGUGUGGGACUUCUGGCACAUCUGCGCUAUAUUGCGGAUCUUGUGAUUAAAGCAGCACCUCUGAGCACUGGUUUAGCCGCUGAUGUUCAUGGACAGCUGUCAGUGGUAAACAAAGGAAUGCUCAUCGAGCAGAGGCCGGCGAAAGGGCAGAAAGUUUGGAACUUCCAUUUUAAGGUGAAGGAAAACGGCGCAGACUUCUUCUACCCAGGGAGCAGACAUUAG